rfam:Gossypium arboreum cultivar AKA8401 contig_830_7, whole genome shotgun sequence.
AGUAAAAAAAUUCAUCAAAUUCUACUAUUAAAAAUUGGCAUUACUGAUAGAAUAACUAAAUAAUUUCGCGUAGCGUGCCAUAUGUACCUCAUUCUAACAUGCAUGGUCCAACUUUUAACAAUAAAAUGGAUAGAAUUUUUAAAUA